GUGUCCCCAUGUGUCCCUAUGUGUCCGUAUGUGUCCCUCUGUGUCCCCAUGUGUCCCUCUGUGUCCCCAUGUGUCCCUAUGGUGUCCCUAUGGUCCCUCUGUGUCCCCACGUGUCCCCGCUGUCCCCACGCUGUGCCGCGCAGGCGCGGCGCUGGCUGCGUUUCGGCCCGUUGGAGGCGGAGGCCGUUUGCGUGGGCUGCGCGCGGGGCUCCGUGGGGCGGCGCUGCCAGAGCUGCAGGGACGGCUUCUUCCUCCUGCACGGCCGCUGCGUGCGGUGAGCGCCCCACGGCCGCCCCAUGGCUGCCCCAUAGCUGCCCCAUAACUACCCCAUAACUACCCUAUAACUGCCCCAUAGCUGCCCCAUACCUGCCCCAUAGCCGCACCAUCGCUGCCCCAUGGCUGCCCCAUAGCCGCCCCAUAGCCGCCCCAUAGCCGCCCCAUAGCUGCCCCAUAGCCGCCCCAUAACUACCCUAUAACUGCCCCACAGCUGCCCCAUAGCCGCCCCAUAGCUGCCCUAUAACUACCCUAUAACUGCCCUAUAACUGCCCCAUAGCCAC
rnacentral:lncRNA from 1 species